CUGUAUGGGCAGACAUUGGUGUACAGGUUGAAUAUCUAACCACAUAAACUGGGGACUUUCAGCCUGUUACUAUGACAACCACUUAUGCAUUCAUCGGUGCACAAUUUUGCACUUUAAGCCAUAACACCGGUUCGUCUUAUCUUCGUGAGUAUAAGACUUUAUCAACCAGCAGGAUGAGGUUACUUAUCUGUGCAUUACGUGACACCAUCAUCAGGGUGUAGUGACGAAGCAAAGGAUUGCAUGCUCAAUUCAGUUCCAGUCUAUUCAGGCCACAAUAGUCGAGUCCUUCGAAGGCUGCAGCACCUGGAAUUGGACAUGACUUUGGUCUGCAGCAGAAGACAUUUAUGGUGUGUUUCAGCUGUAUUUAGAAGUUGGGAUUUCCAAGCUCAAAGUCAGAACUUUCAACUGUAAUGACCCCCGAGGUCGGAUUUCCGACUCAGAAAGUCAGACGAUCCACACAACCCACAAGUUGACGUUAAUAGAUGGCGGCGCUGCUUGCAAAACACUUUUUACUAUUUGUUGUCUCAAUAAGUCAGCCGUACACAAUGGUAUCGUUAGAUGUAUAUAUAUGGAAAUGCUGUCAUAGUGUAAUCUACAUGUUUCAUGUGUACAUGUAAACUACAAAGCAGGCCAUGCUAACAACAGCUAACUGUAGCGUGGUAGUAUCAGUUGUUGUUUUUGGCUGUUAGCUACUGACUUUGUAACUGAAACGCUGUUAACUGGGGUGUGACGUCAUCUCCAGUUCCAACUUCCAAGGUAAAGAACGCAUCAUUAAAGUCCCCACCUCAGUACUUGAACAGACUUGAUAUGGAGAAAGGAAAACUUUGCAAAGUCUGCCCAUCUUUCUGUUUUACGGAUAAUAAAAUAUAGAAUAGAAAUAGGGUAGAGAGACAGAUCUUACCCAAUGAAAUAGAGUGCAAAACUGGUGCUUGAUGCUAGCGUUAACCAAAUGUCAAGCUCAGGACAAACAUUUCAUCCCUUCUAGUAUACUGAUUUGCACAUAAUAAAAAUAUGAUCAUGUCUGAAGUACUGAGAAGCACUUACUAAAAAAGAAAUUUUUAACUAUAACCAGAUACUUUUGGUGCCCUGACUCAGGUUUAAAUGAGUCCUAAUGUCACCUUCUCUUUUGCUAACUUUGCGUUCCCGUUGCUUAUGUGAUGCUGGCGCAUAAAUGUAACACACUUGAUCGUUUCACAGAUUUCUACGGGGUCAGAUUGUUUCAACUUCGUGUGACUGAUGGAGGGUUAAGAGCAGCUUCCUCUGACACCAGCCAGGGAAAGGUUGCUGGAGCUGCUUUAACACUCUGUUCCUCUAGUUCCUCUCAAAAGCAGGAGCAGAUGGUGCAUGUUGGCAGCGUUUUGCUGGCUGGAAAACACCCCUUUGAUUGAGAUGCCUAUUCUUUCACGUCUAAGAGAUGAUGCUCGGAGAGCAUACUGUGAAAAUAAAAAAGCACAGAAGCAAAGCCAAGUCAUAUCUUGCUAUGUAUGCAAAGUCUUAUGGACCAUCUGGAGGGCUGUGCAGGUUUCACUGAGCUUCAAAGAGAUCACGGAGAAAAGGCAGAGUCAGCGAACACAAUCAGGUUUUCUUUCGAGCCAUUCAGACAAACAGAUGACGGUGAAUUCUGUAAAUCUGGACUGAAAAUAAAAGCUUUUAUUCUCAGGCUGUUCCACAUUAGCAGCAGUAAUCAGCUAAUGGCUAAAUUUGGUCACAAACCACAGCGCUCUUCAGGCUGUUUUACAGUCGCCAUUAGCCUUAGAUUGGUAGUGACAGCACAUGUUCGCCUGGGUUUCUAAGUGACUCCUGGUAGAGUGCCUUCUAAUCCAGUAAUUGGUAGAGAGAAUGGGCGAGAGAGGGCGACGGACAGUGAGAGAGAGUGUGUGGAGGACACACACACACAGAGGAUUGACCCUUUUCUCUCUUUCUCUAAUUAGCCGUAUUAGACAAAGAGCCCCAGGAGAAGACAGAUUGCAUCCCGUCCAGAGUGUGAGAUCACUCAUGUUGGAGUGGUCCUCCGAGUAAACCUAGAGCAGUGUGCCAGCAUCUGAAAUAAGACCACUAACCCCCACACACCUCCUGUGGCUGUGCAGGGAUGAGGGCAGGACCUCUGAAGACACAUUGACGUUAGUGGACACAGAGCUGAUGGAUGAGAGAGAAAAUCUGUUAAAAACUCUGUUAACACCGACAUGUUUGUCUGGAUAACCAGCCUCUGCCGUCAAUAAUUAUACACAUAACACCAGGAAGACUGCUUAAAGCUUCAGUGAGGAGUUUUAUCUGUUUAUGAAAUAGACUGUACUUAACACUGCCCAAAAAACCACACAAGGCCAUAAAGGGAAAAUGGGGCUGUUUAUACACAGUUACUUUGUGACCUCCACCAUAGGGCAGAUUGACUGCUAGAUGACUAAUGCUGCGUUCCAGUAAGAUCGGAAGUCAGAUGUCGGAGCUGGGAAUAAUAUUGCACCCAAGUUGACGGCAUUCUAGUAAACAAGUCGGAAACCCAAGAUGGAUGCCUACAGUUAGCCGUUGUCAGAUGUUGUUGGUUGUUGUUAGCUAUACCAGUCGUAAACAAUGCAUAACACAGUAUUUUACUCUUACAAACACCAUAGCACCAUGUCCAAAGUUAGACUUUGGGCAUUACAACAUAUACCACUUAUUUAAUUUCACAAAAACAAAACAGAAGUGCAAAUAAAAAAUGUAUUAAGAGAGCUUUCAUUGUUACUCUUUACUGUUGAUGCACUGUGCUGCCAUCUUGGAUUAUGACGUUGUCGUCAAGUCGGGGCUGGUGAGGAUCGUCCAACUUUCCGAGUUCUUUCCAGAUGAAUUUUAGUCUCGGAGCUUGGAAACCCUUACUUCCGAGUACAACUGGAACGCACCAUAAAUUCAGACAAUGAUGUAAACGGAAAUUAAAAUUAUGAUGAAAAUCUGAUUCAGAAAUGCUCUAAUGAAUAAUGCGGUGGCAUAAUAGUUGGCUCUGUUACAUCACUGUUUUUUAUUCUCCUAUUUAAACCAAUCGUGUCUGCAACAAGGGCACCAAUACAGAUUCUUGCCCCUAUCAUUUAUCUUCUUUGUUGUCAUCGGGUGAUUUUCCACCCAGUGAAUGUCAGUAAGGAGCGUGUUUACAGCUUCUGGUAGGAACCAAAUAAGUUAUCAGCUAUCCAACCAGAAACCAAACAGCCAAAAAAGCCAUGCUAGCAGCUGGAAUCACAAAAAUGAUUGCCUCAUUACAACCUGCAGCCUGAAGAAAAGAGACAAGCUGUGGACACAAUCUUUGAAGUGCCUGAUCAGAACAGAGUGUCGUGUGGAUUCAAGACAGGAGGAAGAAAACCUGACAGAUUUGGGAAAACAAAGCACCCUGCAGUGUCUGCUCAAAUACACAGUAACUCCAGAUUUAAAGCUCCUAUACAGAGUUUUCUGUCAUUCUUUGACAAGGUAGCAAAACUCACUCUUUAUAUGUUCUUCUGACUCACACAAACCUUGGGUUAUUCAACAAACAUCAACAGAGUCCACUUAAAUCUUGCUCUUUCAAGAGAAGAUGGAUUUUUUUUGUUUUUAAAUGUGACUUACUGCUUUUUUAAAACUAUACUUCAUGCAUUCAUUUUUUCAAACUCAACACUUUCAUUCAUGUUAAAGUCUGCACAUUAGCCACCAGGUUGUACACCAGCCCUGCACAACUGCCAAAGCCUGCUCUGUGUUGUAAUUUGUGGUUACAUCUCUCUCUUGCUGACAGUGAAGCUGUUUCACUCUUUUCAGUCCACUCUGAUUGCAAAGUCUUAAAUCACAGCGUGGGUCUUUUGUGUUCAGUUUCUGUUUGUUGAUGAAUUUUUACUAUUUCAUAUUCAACCUCUCAGUUUUUCAAUGUUCUCUAAAUUUUCAUUCUUUUACUCUACAACAUUGAAGCUCUGCGUUUAUAUUUGUUUCUGUUCAGCAUGAAGCAAACGGUUAAACUCUGAAGCUGGAGCUACUGAUCAUAAAGCCGACCACAUACCUUUUGCAACACAGUGAUAUUUUAAAGGUCAAGGUUUCUGCCGACAUUAAAAUGAUCCCUGUUAUUUAAAGAUGUCGUGAGGGUGUCGACUGUAUUAAAGAAAGCUGUCGACUUACAGAAGUUGUCUGUCUGUGUAUGUCCCCUGACUGUAAUCAAACCUGCAGAUAAUCCUCUAUUUGUUUCCAGGUAUCUUUAUUUCCAUCAGCAGGAUAAACAUCUCAGACUCUGCUCUUGUUUGUUCAUGGCUUUGUGUUGUUUGCAGCACAUUCACUGUCGAUGCAGUUGUUUUUCCUUUGCAGAAUAUAACUGUAUUAUUCUGUAGAUCAAUCCCACAUACAACCAGAAGUUAACAAGUUGCCAUUUCUGUGGUGGAGUCUACUUAAAACAUCUGCGUGUUUUAAUGCAAAGUGACAGAUAUUCAACUUUGAAGUUUUCUGUUUAAAGUUCAGCUGCUUAUAAAUUAUCACUAUCCAAUAAGAAACACGUAUUCAAACAUCUCCAAAAUGUUUUUUUUUCCAGGGACUUUAAAAACAAUUUAUAAACUACCUUACAGAAUAAACCCAUAAACCCUGCAUUUACACAGUCAUCAGUGACCUGUUUGAUAUCUUAAUUGGACUUAUGUGCUUUGCGUUGUGAAUGAUGGUGGAUAUACUCUUUUUUUUUUUUUUUACCAACCUGCUUCAAUGACGUUCGGUUAUUUACAAGCUUCGAGUAUCCUCUUAUGUCCCACUAUGUUGGUAAACUAUUGAUAGCCGGCUACAUUUCCACAUAGAACAUUGGUGCCUAACUCGGUGUUACGGUGUGUUUGACCCAAAAUUAAUUUUUUGCCAGAAUAUCCCUUUAAUCUGUCUAUCUCUGCAUUACCAUAAAUUUGUUUAAAAUUCCCAAUUCAUAAGUAGUUAUGCAUACUGUUAUUUAGAUUUUACUACUUUAGUACCAACAGCCAUCAGGCUUUAUAACUCUUAUGUAAAUAAUAGAUAACUUUUAUAGAUAUACUACGUGAGACAACAGACAAUUGAAUUUCCCUUCAGGGAUCAAUAAAGUUCUUCUUAUUCUUAUUCAAUAAAGUUCUUCUUAUUUUUCACCUAAACCUUAUAAAAAAACUGAAGCGCUCCACCAUAUCUCAAACCCUCAAACUUACCUUUUACAAGUGAGAAUGAAAACAACACCCCAGAAAAUACACAGAGGCCAACAAAUCCCUUUCCAGCGAAACAUUUGUCAUACACCGCUCUGUCUGCUUAUGUGUAGCCAAGAGACUCAGGGCCAUUUCUCAGACUGGUACAACAAAAACCCAUCCCCUCUUAGUCCUGGCUCAGAGCUUUUAGCGGGAUAAUUUUGGAAGGAGGGACCAGGUGAUCUGAGGACAGGGACUGUGCUGAAGGUGUCCUCUGUCUGUAAAGAGUACCAGUCUUAUCCAUCACAGGAGCACAUCCAAAACAAACCUCUGAUUAUCCUCACAAACAACAUUAAUCUAAGCUUAGUCAGGAUGGAAUAAUGAUGGGGGAGAUCAAAUCACUGAUAUCUAAUCAUGAUCCUCAUCUCUGAUGGAGAAAUAAAACGAUUAACAGAAAAAAAACAAAGAGAUUCUUCUUUUCGUUGUGAUGAUCGCAUAUGAGAAAGUGCUGAAGAGGAUGGCUGGAGGCUUAAAGAGCAGGAUGGAACAGGUUGGGAGAGGGUGUGUGGCAGCCCACAUGUACAAAUGACAUUGAACCUUGAGUGGGACUGCGGAAAGGCUUUGAUGGCUGUGUGCACAUGUUUUAUUCUGGUUAUAAAUGUGUUGUAUUCCACCAUGAUGAGUUGUUUUGAUGAGAUCUGAGGUAUUUGGGAUGAGCAGCCGUCUCUGUGUCCUUCAGUUUCUAAAGCAGUAGUCGCAGCAGAUCAGGUGGACUCUUCACCAUUUUUUCAAACAGGACCCAAACAAGACCCCUAUCUCCCCCCUCAAGGACUCGCUGCAACGCUCUCCCAGGCCUUGAAUCUCAAUGCAGCUCCUCUCCCGCUCCAGGGACCUGCAGGGAUCCGAACAGUGCGACUCUGAUAUCCCCUCACACUUUCAUGUUGUGCCUCAUGUGUGUGAGCAGCUGUUUAAUAUUUCAUCGCAUUGUAUUAGCCGCACUCUCCACCUGAUGCAAUAUUUAGCACAUGCACUGUGUUUUACUAAUGUUGUUUUGCUGAAUACAAUUGCUGCUCAGAAUAUUCAUGAUUCAACAGUACUCAUUUCACCUCACACUUAAGGAGUCAGGUAGCUCUGCUUGGUCCGGUAGCGUAUCCUCACCCAGUGGUUGUUGUGAUAUCUUGUGAAACGUAACACCCAUGUAUUCAAGUAAGUCAGUGUGGACUUGAAGAACCCAUAAAACGAUUUAUUUUCCAUACUUACCUACUUGUUUGUUUGCAGUAAUACUCAAAAAUCUGUUAUCUUCUUCAAAUUGUCAAGUCUGUAUCCAGGUACCUCUUGGUGUCUGCUUUGAUUAAUUUUGAACACAUUACAAGGUGUUUAAAAUCCUUUAGUUCCCUGUCUGAGUACCUCAAAGUGUCUUGUGUUGAUUUAUAUGUAUAUAUAUUCUUCUAUUUUUCCUCCAUACCGUACCGUUCAUUGAAUAUUUUUACCAUCUACAUUUAGUUGUCCAUAAAAGUCUAUUUACUUCCAUUUACCUGAAUAGUCAAGUCUGUUUUAUUGUACCCCAUGGUGCCUACUUUCCUAUUUUGUUACACAGUAUGGGUCUUAUUACAGUCUCACUGCCAUUUUUAAAAUGAAAUAUAAGUGGUUUUCAGUAAACAUUUUUUAGUAUUAUUCAUUUUCAUUUAUUAAACAUAUAAAAGGGUCUGUAUCAAGGUACUCUUUAUUUCUAUUUUUCAAAUAAUGGUAGAUCUGUUUCAAUAUGCAGAUUUACUUUCUCUUACAAGUCUGUUACAAUUUAUAUAUCUGUUGUUUUUCUUUUAAUCUACUUUCAGAAUAAAUAGUGAAGUCUGUAUCGAGGUACCCUAUGUCUUUUUUUGUCUUUUCUGACGGAUCAUAAGGUAGUACUUGGGGUUUGCAGUGCGUUUUUGUCAGUGUCAAACAUAAAAACUCCCCCCUUUUAAAUACUUUCAAGUGUUUGUUGUUUUCAUUCCAACAUAUUUUAGGUGUGUUUUGGGAACCCUUCAAUUAUGAUUUUUUAAACAUUUGGUAUGAAUAUAAGGCCUGAUGUUGGAAUAAUUUGUUUAUCCUUUGACAUCAGUUUACUCAUAUUCUAAUCAUAUCUAUAUUCAGGUACCACUUAGUCUCUGUUUCAUUUCUGUCCUACACAUGACAAGGAGAUCUUUGAGAUUACUCUCACACAUCAUCUAAACUCUCUUCUAGAGUUCGCUGAAAAAUGUCAGUUUUUCCCUUGUUGGGAUGGUUUUAGAUCUCUUUUGGGGAACCCUAAAGGUUUUUUUUUCAAAUGUGAUAUGAUAACAAGUCUGUUAAAAGUAUUUCUGUUAUCAUAUCUAACUAUAUUCUUAACUUUAUUUUAUGAGUUAUCCAUCAAUAUCUGUUCUCUUCCUUUCAAAUACAUUGUCAAGCCUGUAUUAAGGUACCUCAGAGUGUCUGUUUGUAACUCGAGAUGUUUUUAGGUUCCCUUUAAGCGAUGGCUUUAUUUUAUCAUGUUUUUUAAAAUACUGUCAGUAAAUGUUGUUUCCUGUCAAAUUUUCUUGAGGUCUGUUUUCGGGUACCCUUUGGUGCUAAGUUUUCUUUCUUCUUGAAGUUUUUUUUGGUAGCAUUUUUGACUUAAUUGGAGAGGACAGCUGAAGAGAGGGAGAAAACGUGGGGUAUAAGUAAUGAAGGUCAACAUGCAGAAAAUUAAAAUAGUACCUAUGUCAGGGUGUGUACAAAGACUGAGCAAACAGUGCAAAUCAUUAUUGCCUUCUAAUAUAAUGUUAGAAAUGAACACUGUGCUCCAUAUUGCACCUUGUAAAGAUGUUAUUGUUUUUGUUUCACUAAUAUUAAAAGAUUGUUUUGUGGUACCUUGAGCAUCUUCUUUACCUCUACAGUGCUGUGUGGUCUGUCUUUAGGUACCUUCAAGUGUCCAUUUGUAUGUGUGAUGGCAGGAAUAAAAGAAGAUAUCAAAGUUUAUCAUCUCUCCCCUGCUGUAAGUCCUAAGCUUUAUAACCCCAAAUGAAUCUGUUUUUCUCCUGACAUCACACAUGCGAGUUAGCACGUGUUGCCCUGUUUUAUGGUUAUUACUGUGGACUGGUUGACAUUUGAGGAAGUUGAAGGCCGUGAGCAUCUCAUGCACAGGCUAAAGGAAAAGAGGCAGCGGCAGCUAGAGGCAGCAGUAUCUCAGUCUGUAGGGACUUGGCACGGGAACUGGAGGCUGUCCCGUUCAAGUCUGAUGAUGGACCCACAGUGGAAAUUGGGCUUGGAGCUGGAGAAGAGCCAGUUUACUUCUGGGCACUGCCAAGGUGCCCUUCAGUGAGAUAUUUAACCUCAAAUCUCCUUCGGGUGCCCAUCAGUGUGCAUCUGCCUCACCCUGCCCUGUCAUUUCUUCAUCAGUGCAUGUCAAUAAAACUCUCCAUAUGUGUAUUGGAGACCACAAACUGCAGAUUUACUUAUGAUUUGCAAAGUAUUAUUGGAGUGUGUAAAGAGAAAUAUAAGCUCACUUUCUACACGCAUAAAAAGCUGAAGAGAUCAGAUCAAGGAUCGGGUGCUUGGUUUAACAGGUCAGAGAAAUCUACACCUUUUAUAUCCUUGUGUGAGAUAACUGCUCUGUGAAGACUUGUGCAUCUUGACCUCUGUCAUUUCAUCGUUUCCUCAUAAGAGGCCGAGUCAGCAAGCAGACGACCUCUUUACUCACUCUCAUAAUGAAGGUCAAUGUGAGGUCAUCCUCCUCUGGAGUCGGAGCGGGGAAGCUGCUGUUUGUCACACACACACAUGUAUACAUAUACAUACACGAGAACAUAAAGGGAUAUAGAUACACUUAUACACACUUGUACAUGUACGCAUUCACACACACGCAGACGUACACACACAUACACACUCUGAGCUCCACAAAGCCAGCUCAGCACAGCUGUGGCUCGGCUUGUUGUGAGCAUGUCCAUCCAGGCAGAAGAGGUCGUUUUCAGCAUCGCUCAUGGCUUCAACCUCUGAUCUCUUUGGCUGUCUCUCUCUGCCCUUCCCUCAGCUCCUCUUUCUGUCCAACCAGAGUCUCUUUGUGGCUAAACAUAGAGCUAAAGACAAACAUGCUUUCAAGUCAAACUUGGACCUAGGUCCAGUUAGCUUUUGUUAUAAUCAUAAAUCAGGUUUCUUUGUUUAAUUGUCACCGUCCUCUCUUUGGUUAGAAUCAGAUCUGCUGUCAUUCAAGUGCAGGAUCUUGUUAUAGUACAACACAAAGUUCAAACAGUACAGCAGUGGAAUCUAAAUAUUAAAUCAGGCUGAAGUAAAAAGUGAAAAAGAAACACUGGUGUUGAUACUGCAGACAUCAAUUUUUGACAAAUUUGAUCACAUGAUAACAAACUCAUUAUUUAAAGAUGAUGUGAGGAGCGCUUUAAGGGUGAGGAAAUAGACUUAAAGUAAUAACCAUGCAUCUCUAUGAUGUAACCUACUGUUGCAAACAAGAUAAGAGUUUCUGUAUCCUGAUGUUUUAACACCUGUAACCUGCUGCGAGUUUAAGUACGAACAAGAAAUAGUCUUUCUUACCUUCCCUACAACACAUAUUCCCUGUGUGAGAAAAACUGCAACAUUAAAAGAUAUCAGGGGGAGUUUUUUUGUCAAUUUAUACCACCUUCACAAGAACACCAGGUAAGAUUAUCAAUGAUAAAAGGAAGACCACUUUGUUCACAGGGAGCACACAAAUCAACACAGACAGAAAGUCCCUCAGAGGGGCUUUAAACAUAAUUUCAAAUUUCAGUGUGUCUACCUUUCCUGACAUUUGUACAGCCCGCUGCUGAGUUAAAACAGAAUACUAUGAACAGUUAACAGUUCAAGAGUCCGCUAAGGAAUCACAGGCCUCAAAGGAUUCGCUAUGUCGUAGCUUACUGGAGUUCUGAACUAUGUUAUCAUUGCAUAGGAACCUGUGUUAGUGUGUUAGCAGUAUAAGGAGUCCAGUUAUCAAGAAUUGGUGGACUCUUUGGACACAACCAUCCGUUCAGGCCGCCAUGUCGUCUGUUAGUUUAUGCUUUAGUAGAAAGUGGGUUGGGAUGAUAUUGUGUUUCUGUGAAAGUGUAGCCGUCACAACCAUAGACUGUGAAUAGAAUGGCCGCCGUCUGCACAGAACAGCACCCUCUGGUGACAGGCUGCAGUAUAGGUCAUAAAUCCCGCCUCCUCCAACAAUCCCUAUGGAGCUGUGGACAAACUUAGCUAGCUCUGGCCUGUUUCAGGGUGAAACCAAACGGGAAGGGUCCAAAAUGCAGGACAAAAAUGUAUUUAUUUAAAUGAACUAAAUAAAAAGCAACAAAAUUUACUUUAAAGAGAAACUCCCAAAGGCAAAAAAGACAAGAGGCAAAAUCCAAGAGAAACAAAAAUCACAAGGAGACUCACUGGAGACACAGGCGUACACAUGAGGCAUCGACAUACAUUCACACAGACCGCACACACAGGGGAACAAGCAACAAGAGGCAGGUGAGACACAGAGACACAGGUGCAGACAAUUACUAAGGAGGGAAAACUGAGGAAAUAAAGCAAGACUAGAAACACAGGAAAUAAACUACUACAAAAUUAAACAGGAAACACUGAAAACUGAUAAUACAGAAUAAAACACUGAGAACAUCAGGAAAAUGGGGUCAGACACAAACUGAGAAGACAAGACUACAGGGGAACAGGAACAAUAAGGCACAGAAACACUAGGAAAUAUACACUUAAAUCACCAAAACCAGGGGAACAAAAGAACAUAUUGCGACAAGUUGACCCGGGGGAUACGCUGUUUGAGCUGAGCUGAAAUGCGAACAAUGCAACUGCGCAAGUGAUAGUUCCAGGAAGUGGAGAAAAUCCUGGAAAAAUCGAGAGCAGUAAGGCUUGAAGGUGUGUGUUUAUUGAAAUUAGCUUUUGCACAGACAGACUGUAAAAUAAUCCCAUCUUCUCGUUUGAGAACAGCAUUGUUUUCAUAAACCACUCCCUGCUCAAAGAGGAUGAUCACUUUUUAUUCUUAUAGGGUCAUACUAAUCCCAAAUAGACAGGAUCACAUAAAAAUGCAAACUAAACAAAAGCUCAGGUCUUAGAAAUGUACUGUAUACAUUUUAAUAGUCAGUAAAAAUGGCAGCAGUGGUAAAUAUUAUGCCCUGCAGUGUAUUUAAUAUGAGGGUGGGUACAUAGAGGCGGGGAGUGGAUGCACACACAGACACACAGUAUCAUCAUAAAACCAAAAUGAACAACUUUUUCCUCCUUUCUGUAUCUGAUUUGAUCUCAAAAACAAAGCUUUAGUCAUUUUCUGUGAUGUGCAAAUAUCUAUAUCUCAUCUCUGAUGAGCCGUUUCUCAUUGCCGGUUGAAUGAUGAGCUAACAUUAUGGCUGAGGAUAAAAAUGAACAUACACACAGAGAUGGAAUAGCUUUGUUUUCCUGGCAGCCCUCAGGCAGCGUUCAAUCCCAACAGCAGUGACAGAGGCGGCUGAUGGGAAAUACAGUAUCUGAGGCGGUUUACGUCAUGUGAAUACGGCCCUCGACAUAUGGAUGCUGCAGAAGAGGAGAGCCUGGAGCGCUCAUUAAGAUCCUGCAAACCGUAACACAUAAAGGCUCUCUGCGUUCUGCAUCAGCUGCUGUUUGUUCUCUUUCUUCAAUUAUCAAUGUCCACAAUGUAGCUAAAUUCAUGCGCUGGGUUUUCCGGCAGCUCCAGAGAUCCACUAAAGCACAUGGAAACAUCUCUCAGGAGACACACAGCGUUGCAGGGAACUCUGGGUAAUGAGCUGGAAAACAGCAUUGAUAAUGUUGACCAGAGUUCGCCAGAGAGACAUGAGCGUGUCGGGCUCGAUAAAUAAUAUGUGAGGUGGGGUCUCAAUUUUGUGGAUGUGCCCCUCGCUGACCCUCUCAAUCCUCUGUUUCUCACUGAGGCUGUUUAAUUAUGUAAACAUAUAGAGAGAGGAAGGGAGGGAGGGAAAGAGAGAGAAAAAGGAGGGUUACUAAAGGCCAAAUGAAGCACCAAGUCUUUAUUUUAGCAGCUGUUCUUGAUUAAGUUUUAGUCUUUGUCUUUGGAUGAAAAUAACUUUAGUUUCAGUGGAAUUUUGAGCCGCUUUUAUCCUUCACAGUUGUAGUCUAGUUUUGGUCAACCAAUAUAUUCUCCUUAAAAAUAAUUUAAAGAUCGAUCUGAAAUUGGCACCGAGGCUGUCCCAAGAGUUUAAAAGUACAGAGUGGAGAAUUUAGCACCAUUAUUUUUAAAGACAUGGGAUCUAUCAUGUAGAAGUUUGUUUAAAUUAGUUUGUAUUGAAUGGAAUAUCAUAAUUGUUUCUUUUGACUUCUAAUGACCUAGAAAAAGUCUUGAUUUAUUCUCACUGAACAAUGAUUUUACUAUGAUUAAAAACUGAUUUAUUAAUCCUAAUCCUAUUUUUUCUAUUGUUGGUCACAGAUGUUGGCUUUGUUUAGCAUUACUUUACUCAUAUUAGCUUCUGUAACAAAAUAAUGAAAAACUUGUAAUUGAAAUUCUCUUAUUUAUUUACUUUUUGUAUUUGUUAAAAAAUACUAAAAACAUCACCACCUCAUCACUUGAAACAGUUGAAUUAGCUUCUUCUGUUGUGGAUGACAGCAUCUUUAUCAUGUAAAUUGCUUUUGGCCCUCAACAGCCACCGUUGCCUUGGUAACAGGAAAAAUUAGUGAGGAAGUGUGAUUUCUUCUUUUGGGGAGUUAGGGUCGGGUUGGGGUGGUCACCUUUUGUUUCAUGUGCAUACAUGACAACCCAAGGCAGGGAGAGCAGCAGCAAAGAAAUAUUUGAGCAAUGCCGGGUCGAAUUUUGUUGUUUCUCCUCAUAGACUGUAUAUACUAUGGACAACUUGUCUCCGCCUCCCGUCAUUAUACGAAUUUGAAGCCGAAUUGCUCUCUGUAUUUCCAGGAUUUUCUCCACUUCCUGGAACCACCACUUGCGCAGUAGUGUUGUACACAGUUGGCUAGAGAGUCGACGAGAGUAUCCCCCGGCUGAGCCACGCAAUCUUCGUACGCCCAUAGGCUGUAUCAAGUGUCAAUCAUAGAAAACAUGAACCUCCUAAUAACUUUAAAAAACAGAGGUGUACAGAAAAAAAGGACUUGAGCACAAACCAGUCUUACAGUAACUACAUGUCAACAUCGCAACCAGGGGGGAGAAAAAUUUAUAUUCUGUGUAAUUAAUUUCUAAAGUUUGUCCACAGCUCCAUAGGAAUUGCUGUAGGAGGCGGGAUUUAUGGCCUAUACUGCAGCCCGUCACCAGAGGGUGCUGUUCUCUUUGUGGGUUCACCCAGCGAGGAGGCAGAUGGGAUGUGUACUGGUGGGAAAGACCCCGUAAAGGAUGCAUGAUUAGUGAAUUUUCUUUUGAAUGCUAGAAAACUGCAUAUUUAAACAGCGUAGAAACAAAGCAGUGACAUUUGAGAGCACUGUCCACCCCUCUUUUGUCCCUGGUAAAGACAUAAUGGCUGCAGCAUAUUCCAGUGUGAACAAAGCUGACCUGUUUUCAAUUACGCUCUUGUAGUAAAGAGCAAAAGAAAUCUCCGCCGACAAUAAAAGAGGUAUCUGAGGCAUGAGCUGUGUUCGUUUCUCUUUCUAAUGAUGUUAAGUCUUCAAAUGCAGACUGAGAAUGUCUUCUUCACACGAAACCUUCUGCUUUGUAUUAGCAUAAAUGUAUUUGAAAGCAAACACACAUAUUCAGAGAAAUAUUCGCAGUCCAAAAAUCUGAGGGGAGAAAUUGAAAAUGCAAGACUUUAUAAUGGAUUUUCCUCAACAACAAAGAUAAGACCGACCUGGGAAACAAGCUCUGCUCGGGUUUGGCAGACAGGGCAGAUAUCAAAGAGAGGCACCGGGACGGUAGAAAGGCCUGUGAAAGAUAGAGGGAGGGACGCACAUCAGUAUGACAGCCUAUUUGGAAAAUUUAUGCUCUAAUAUUUCCUCUGCGUUCCUCUCACCUCCACAAAGGAGUACAUGUGCUCAGAUGAGAGCAGGGGAGGACAAGGUUGAUUGUUGGUUCAAGGAAAGCCCCUGCUUAGAGAGAAGACUCUUAUUUUGGCAGCUGUGACCCACUUUUACACGUUCAUACUUGAGAUAUGCAUACACACACACCCACACUCACACACACACACUUACACACAAAUGCCCACACAUGCUGUAACGCCUCAGUGAAGAGGAAAACAGAGGCAUCUGGAAAAGUCGUCCUCUGGGAGGCGUUGACAUGAUUUGCGGGGGCUCGCUGUGUUUCCCGUUACUCUGCUCGGUGACUUCCCCGUGUGAUCACCGUGGCAACUGAUGGCUGCACAACUAAUUGGUGAAACACAUAAGCAGACCUGCACCAGGAGCUGAGGGAUGCACGGUGCCGUAUAUAAGAAGGCAUGUGAGACCGUACGAUGUAUAAAUGAUUGCGCAUUAAUGUUUAACUCAGUUUAAGUGUCUCCUCAGGAGCGCGGAGGAACCUUUCAGCUCCCCGAGGCUUGGCUAGAGCUGAAUCGACAAACUUCAUCUUAGUGGCGAUGGCAUGUUUGGGCUUUAGAUGGUUUUUCGAAUUCCCUAACAUUUUCUACACAGUCAGCUUAUUGUAACUUGAGGAGCAGAGAAAAUAUAAAAUCACUCCAACAAACACAUUUAUGAUGGGUCCCUGCUUUUAAAAUCCCCUUAUGUCUCAUUUAAGACUUGACUCUGACACCUAAAGACGUGCCUCUGUGGCCUUUUUAAACAGUAAUAAACGCACACCAUCGGCCCAUCAUUACACAGGCUCGCUUUUCACUUAACCAGCUGAACAAAGCGGGAUCAUUGCUUUCUGGGUGUGUUUAAAGCUCCUGUGAGGGACUUUUGUUGUGUGUCAAUUCUGGCACCCUUUCUGGACAAAGCAGUCUCAUUCUGUUGACUUCUUCCAAGAUAGACAAAGAGAAAACUAACUCUGUCUGAGAUAGACGAAAAGAAAACCAACACCGCCUGAGAUAGAUAAAGAGAAAACUAGUACAACUACCGUCUGAGAUGGACAAAGAGAAAACUAACACCGUACAAGAUAGACAAAGAGAAAAGUAACACUGUCCGAAAUAGGCAAAGAAAAAAUUAACACUGUCCGAGAUAGAUAAAGAGAAAACUAGUACAACUAAUACGGUUUGAGAUAGAUGCAAAGAAAAAUUACAACUUCCAAGAUAUGAAGAGAAAACUAACACCGUCCGACAUAGACGAAAAGAAAAGUAACAACCUCCGACAUAGACAACGAGAAAACUAAUUAACAUCUUGGUUCUGAAAGCUUGUGACUUAUUUUGUUUUUUGGUUUUCAUGGUGUUCAGGAUAAACAUGGAACAGAUGAAAAAAUGUAUCCGUUUAUCUUUUGAUUUUAAAUUAUUUUAUAUCUGUGAUCUUUUUUAUUUUUUUAAAAUGUAUUUCCUUGCAACUAUAAAGCACUCUGAACUGCCUUGUGUAUGAAUGGUGCUAUACAAAUAAACUUGCCUUGCCUUUUGAUACUCGAAAAACUUCGAGUUAUCUACUACACACAGUCUCACUGUUGAAGAACUCCCUUUGUGCCACUUAUGCAAGGUAUCUAAACAAAUGUGUAGACUUGAAAAAAUAUUCAUGUGUUUGUUCAUAUUAAUUCAAUGCAACCCCCCAAAGAAGUCAGAGAUUGGGCCACCUCUGUCAGGAAACUCUGGGCACACCCCUGCUCUUAGUUGACUUAGUUGAAGUUAGUUGUAGUCAGCAUUUUCAAUAUUUUAACGACCAUCUUUGGAUUACAAAACACAAGUACAACUCAUCAAUAUACUUUCCAGUAUGCAACUUGCAGCACAAGAGCACACUUGCACCCUGCUAGCUGAACAGGCAGGUCAGAAGUGAAGUUAUGCAUCUGGUAACAGAGUCCACUUGAACUUUGCUUUCCUUUUUCAUCAGACUGCAUGGAAGUUGAUCCAUUUUUCUGCAUAAAGGGUAAAAAGCUCACUUAUAUUGUGCAAUCCAUAAACUUAUAACUAUCCACCUCCUUAGUUCACUGAGAGGUUUACUUUUAUACCUUCAAAAGAGGUACAAAAAAGAGUUACAGACAGGUAAAUGUGAUGGUAUAGCUCAUGCAGGCAAGGCCUGUAGUACUGUGCAUCUGAGCUCAAACAGGCUGUGUACUAGCGUACUGUACCACAUAAGAAGGUAAAGUAAGUAACUGUCAUCAUGAGAGAGGAUGACAUUAAUCUGAUCACAAACACCAGCUGUAAACCAUUACUUACUGAAGAAAACAUAAUCACAGAUGCUCUGAACAAGACGCUGCAGUCAGUGCGGAUCUUAAUGGGAACAAAUUAUCUGUUUAAAAGUCUUCUUCACAUGCUGAUGCAUCUGUGUGGGAGCCAGAGUUCCAACAAUACUCUGAAAAAUGAGCUUUUAAGAUUGUAAUGUGAUGUCAGUAGACUACACACAGUGAGGUGAUGAUUUCAGACCUGGUUUUACUGUGAUGCUUUUUAUUGAAUGAUAAAAAGUGACAAGAGAGGGAAGGAUCUCAGGAAGAUCUGUCCAGAUUUACCCGUCAAGGAGCUUAUUCCCUCCACAGCCUCACCCUGAGUAUCUCUCAAGUUGUCUGCAGAGUUUUCAGUGAGACAGAUUCAAAGGCGAUGCAGCAUUUAUAAAGUCAAUUAGCAAACCAAAAGAAAAGUGGCUUUUAUGUGAACAAUUACGACUGAUUGAUAUUGUGCUGCUCUCUGUGUCUUGGACGUAUUGGUUUGUUUUGAAAUGAAGCGCACCCUCUCUGUCUUCCUUAAAAGCAGAGUGUGUUCUCCGCCCCUCCCCUAAAGCAGCUCUCACUCUAAGAGCUAAGAUUAGUUUGCAAAAAAGUUUGGGGAAGUCUCAGGUUUAAUUAUGGACCUCUGUAUCUUCAUCACACUGAGUACUAGCAGUACAAACAAUCAUGCGAUUACAGGUGGAGAGAGGAGAGCAGGGAGAGGAGCAGGGGGAGGCAGGCUUGUAUGUCUGAAAAGCUAAGGGACGGCAUAAGCACAAAAACAGAAAGGCUGAAAGACCAUGAGCAUGCUUGAGCUUGUAAGGAGCUAACAUUUGCAAGGCUUAACAGUUUGUCUGUCAUAAUAAAACACAAUCAGGCCGGAAAAGACUGAAUGAUACCUUGGAUUUGCAGCUCGUUGUGAAAUAUAAGUUGUGGAAGAGCUUAAAAAAAAAUAUAUAUAUAUAUACUUUUUUCCACUUAAUAAUUGUCACUUAAAGUCCAUUUUUUGUUUGUUUUUGAAAGCGAUCAGAGUGUUGAAGUUUUAAAGAGUUGUAUUUUAUUUUUAUUUAUAUUUUUUUUAUUAAGUGAUGCUAAACAGAUCAUGACAAGUGGUUGACAACAUAUACGCAAUACAAACAGACAAUAGAGACAAAACGAUAAAGUGACGAGUAAAGCUGGAAAACACAACAUUUAGAUACUUUUGGUUUGAAGGUGUUGCAAGGCUGUGUUUAAAUAAUUGUGGGUGGGUGAUACCGUGUGUUGAGGAGUGUAUGUGUUUGUGGGUGUGAUUGCACCUCUUUUUCCCCUCUUUUAAAUUGUAAUAAUUGUUAAAAGAGAGAGUAAAAGAAGAAAAAGUAAGCGAUAUGUCAUAAUAAUAAUUUCAAUAAUAAAAUAAUUAAAAGUAUUAUACUGUAAGAACAAAACAAAAAAAUAGAAUUUUUUUUAUUAAAAAAUAAAAGAAUUUUAUAUAAAAUGAAAUGUAAGAAUAAAAGGAAUCAAUAUGACAUAAUAAUGAUUACAAUAAUAAAAUAAUAGUAAUAAUAAUAGAACAAAACAAAAAUAAAUACAAUAUUUUUUAAUAUAAAUAAUAAAUAAACAAUGAAUAAAUAAGUAGAUAAAAAAUAUUAGAAUAAUAAAUAUAUUUAUAUAAAAUGAAAUAAAAUAAAAUAGAAAAAUGUGGUGGGAUAUAGUAAUGAUUAACAUAGAAUAAAUGAUGCCAUGGUCCCACCUAAGUCGCUCCCUGACCCUGAGGAGGAAGCCGGCUGGAGGGUUUGUCCGUAAAAAAAAAAUAAAAAAAAUUAAUAAAUAAAUAAAAAGUUUAAAAGAGUUUUAAAUUGUCCUGUGAAUGCAUCUGCUGCAGACUGUGUUUAGUAUUAAUGAUCUCAUUAUCAAUAGAAAUAAACAUGAUUAUGAUUUUUGCCAUUACCAAGCAGCCCUAACUGCAAUCAUGAAACAUAUGAGUUACUAUCAACAACCCAAGCCAUUUUUAUAGUCUGAUCUAUCACAUUAACAAACACUAUGUUCUUACCUUUUUACACUGUUUGGUUUAUGAGGGGAUUCCCAGCUGACAACAGCAUGAGAUAAUAACUAUCUUCAAUAAUCUUCAUUCCACUUCCUAUAAGAGGAAACCAUUCCCCAGGCUCCCACACUGAACCAUCAAUGAUCAUUCAUUAUAUUCUACAAAGCAGCGCUACAGUAAUAAUCAUUUAUAUCCCCAACCACUGAGCUCUGUGAAUAUACGGCCCUGAUCAAACGCCAGCACCCAACAUCAAA